rnacentral:rRNA from 1 species
UGAGGAAUAUUGGUCAAUGGGCGCAAGCCUGAACCAGCCAUGCCGCGUGCAGGAUGAAGCAUCUAUGGUGUGUAAACUGCUUUUGUACAGGAAGAAACACUCGGUCGUGACCGAGCUUGACGGUACUGUAAGAAUAAGGACCGGCUAACUCCGUGCCAGCAGCCGCGGUAAUACGGAGGGUCCAAGCGUUAUCCGGAAUCAUUGGGUUUAAAGGGUCCGUAGGCGGUUUAGUAAGUCAGUGGUGAAAGCCCAUCGCUCAACGGUGGAACGGCCAUUGAUACUGCUAGACUUGAAUUGUUGGGAAGUAACUAGAAUAUGUAGUGUAGCGGUGAAAUGCUUAGAUAUUACAUGGAAUACCAAUUGCGAAGGCAGGUUACUAUCAACACAUUGACGCUGAUGGACGAAAGCGUGGGUAGCGAACA